UAGGGAAUAUUGGGCAAUGGGCGAAAGCCUGACCCAGCAACGCCGCGUGUGCGAUGAAGGCCUUCGGGUCGUAAAGCACUUUUCUGGGAGAUGAGAAAGGACAGUAUCCCAGGAAUAAGUCUCGGCUAACUACGUGCCAGCAGCCGCGGUAACACGUAGGAGGCAAGCGUUAUCCGGAUUUACUGGGCGUAAAGCGCGUGCAGGCGGUUCGGUAAGUUGGAUGUGAAAGCUCCUGGCUCAACUGGGAGAGGUCGUUCAAAACUACCGGACUUGAGAGUGGUAGAGGAAGGCGGAAUUCCCGGUGUAGUGGUGAAAUGCGUAGAUAUCGGGAGGAACACCAGUGGCGAAGGCGGCCUUCUGGACCAUUUCUGACGCUCAGACGCGAAAGCUAGGGGAGCGAACGGG
rnacentral:rRNA from 1 species